rnacentral:rRNA from 1 species
GACGAACGCUGGCGGCGUGCCUAAUACAUGCAAGUCGAGCGGACCAAAGGGAGCUUGCUCCUGGAGGUUAGCGGCGAACGGGUGAGUAACACGUGGGCAACCUGCCUGUAAGACUGGGAUAACAUCGAGAAAUCGGUGCUAAUACCGGAUAAUAAAAAGAACUGCAUGGUUCUUUUUUGAAAGAUGGUUUCGGCUAUCACUUACAGAUGGGCCCGCGGCGCAUUAGCUAGUUGGUGAGGUAACGGCUCACCAAGGCGACGAUGCGUAGCCGACCUGAGAGGGUGAUCGGCCACACUGGGACUGAGACACGGCCCAGACUCCUACGGGAGGCAGCAGUAGGGAAUCUUCCGCAAUGGACGAAAGUCUGACGGAGCAACGCCGCGUGAGUGAUGAAGGUUUUCGGAUCGUAAAACUCUGUUGUUAGGAAGAACAAGUGCGUUCGAAAGGGCGGCACCUUGACGGUACCUAACGAGAAAGCCACGGCUAACUACGUGCCAGCAGCCGC